AACCGGGGCUAAUACCGGAUGCUUGUUUGAACCGCAUGGUUCAAACAUAAAAGGUGGCUUCGGCUACCACUUACAGAUGGACCCGCGGCGCAUUAGCUAGUUGGUGAGGUAAUGGCUCACCAAGGCAACGAUGCGUAGCCGACCUGAGAGGGUGAUCGGCCACACUGGGACUGAGACACGGCCCAGACUCCUACGGGAGGCAGCAGUAGGGAAUCUUCCGCAAUGGACGAAAGUCUGACGGAGCAACGCCGCGUGAGUGAUGAAGGUUUUCGGAUCGUAAAGCUCUGUUGUUAGGGAAGAACAAGUACCGUUCGAAUAGGGCGGUACCUUGACGGUACCUAACCAGAAAGCCACGGCUAACUACGUGCCAGCAGCCGCGGUAAUACGUAGGUGGCAAGCGUUGUCCGGAAUUAUUGGGCGUAAAGGGCUCGCAGGCGGUUUCUUAAGUCUGAUGUGAAAAGCCCCCGGCUCAACCGGGGAGGGUCAUUGGAAACUGGGGAACUUGAGUGCAGGAAGAGGAGA
rnacentral:rRNA from 1 species